GCUGCCGCGGCGGGCCCCAGGCCCGGAAGGAAGGGCUCGUUCCGCGCCCGGCGAGGCAGCGGCGACGGGCCGAGGGCAAGCCCGCCGGCGUCGGGGCGUUUGUUCGAGGGUGAGGGGCUUAGAAGAGCCGUGGGCCUUCCUCCUCUGCCUGCAGGUCCUGCGUUUAUGUGUUUGUGUUUCUUUCCCGGAGCUCUCAAGGUAUGCGCACCCUUUGCACGCCGCCUCUGGAGGCUGGGAAGUGCCUUUUGCUCCCAAGGCCAGUGAAGGAGAAACAGCAGUCUGGGGUGAGACAGCCUCAUCAAAUGCUUUUAGAGACCUCUAAGAAGAAUUUCUGUUGUGCUUGAAAUUGAAUAUUACCUGCUGCAAAACUUUACUGUGGUUUGGAACUUGACUUUCCCAUUCCCCUCAUUUUCAUUUAAUAAUGAAAAUAAAGCAUUAUAUUUAAAGAUACUGCUACCUUUUACCAUAGGUAGUACCUCUAAAAACACAACAGUUCUUAAAUGCAUGUUUAUGAUUGCACUGCUUGGCCGAGGAUGAAAGCAAUAAUCUGAUUCCUUGCAUACUUUCAGUGAUACGCAAAAAUCUGAUGGAUUAAAGGAUUUUCUGAGGCCAAAACUAAUAUCCAUGUUUACUCAUUCUUUGUUUUUAAAUUAAGCUUUUUUUUUUUUAGCAUCUGAGCAGUGAAGGUUUCAGUAGGUCUAGGAGGAUUUCCUCUGAAGAUAUUUGAAUGUAAACCUUUUAUUUGUCAACAGACCUCAACUAGAUUUUUGUUGCUGAAGAAUUUGUUGUUACAGCAGCACACAUCUAUAAAGAUUUUAAAGGACUUCUUAAAAGAUGCUUGGUUAGGCAAAUUUUUACAGUGAUUGAAACAAGAUGAGGAAAAGAGUGAAUCUAUUCUGAUUUCCAAAACAGUCUUUGCUCUCGGUAUACUUGUUAUUUAUACCAAUUCUGACCUUAGUAUAUUGUAUUAAGGUGAGGCAACCAUGAAACUGAGAAGUCUUUGCAAUUAGUUGACAGCAUUGCACAUGAAAAUGAAGUAUUUAUCUUUGAUACAGAACAUAUAAUUGGAGCAUUUGAAAAAUAAGAAUUGUAAUUAAAAGUCAUAUUCUGCUUCCUCUCUUCAGCGAGCAUUUGUUGUAAUAGUCUUUCUUAGCAUCCAUCUACAGGAAAUACAUAUGCUGCUGAAACAACUUUUUCUAACAGUGAAAUAUUUGAAAAUCAUAACUGAUGCACAGCAUUCGCUUCACUGAUUUACAAUAGCGCUUUUGGAUGCACUCUUUCAGAUUUUACAAGAUAAAUGCAUACAACAACAACAAGCUACUAAUUAUCUCCUGGUUAUAAGCAAAGAGAAAAGAAGUAGUAAAGCAAAAAGAAGGACCUCUGAGUUGAAAUAUGCCAGGUGGAUGUGGAACAGGUCUGUGUGGAUUUUCUGCUAGAAUAUGAGUUUGUUCUGUUUUUUAUCUUAAGUCACUGUUAAAAAAAAAAUAGUUUCAGUUAUUGUCUAUCUCCCUAAUAUCCUUUUCCUUUGGCGCCUCCAAAACAGGAAGGAUGUUUGUUGAAACUAAGAUUAUUUUUUUUUUAAGUAUAAAUUAAAUUUUAAUUUAGUAUAUCUUUAAUUUAAAUAGAAUUUAAAGCAUAGCUUUAAUUCUUACUUCAAAGAUAGUGUUGUCAUUAUAAUAGUUUUUAACAACUUGUAAUGCAAAUUACAGAGUUCAGAGCAUAAUAGGAAAGGUAAAAAUUACAUAUAUUUUCAGAUCUUGAAUAAGAUUACGGAGUCAACAAAAUAAAUGUGUCAUGUAUAUGUAUAAACUGAAUCUUUCUCAGUGUAUCUAAAUGUUGAAAAAAUUACAUAAACUGAAUGUAGGUAUUAAUUUAUCUUGAUUGUUCAUUAACAGUUAGAAUUUAUUAGAAUCGUUAAUUGUAUCAGAGCAAAGUAUUUUUUCUGUAGAUUUUUCUAUUAAAUGUCUUUAAAACCA